GACGAACGCUGGCGGCGUGCUUAACACAUGCAAGUCGAACGGAAAGGCCCAGCUUGCUGGGUGCUCGAGUGGCGAACGGGUGAGUAACACGUGGGUGAUCUGCCUCUAACUUCGGGAUAAGCUUGGGAAACUGGGUCUAAUACCGGAUAGGACAAUCGUUUAGUGUCGGUUGUGGAAAGUUUUUUCGGUUAGGGAUGAGCCCGCGGCCUAUCAGCUUGUUGGUGGGGUAAUGGCCUACCAAGGCGUCGACGGGUAGCCGGCCUGAGAGGGUGGACGGCCACAUUGGGACUGAGAUACGGCCCAGACUCCUACGGGAGGCAGCAGCGGGGAAUAUUGCACAAUGGGCGCAAGCCUGAUGCAGCGACGCCGCGUGGGGGAUGACGGCCUUCGGGUUGUAAACCUCUUUCGACAGGGACGAAGCUUUGGUGACGGUACCUGUAGAAGAAGCACCGGCUAACUACGUG
rnacentral:rRNA from 1 species